UACAGAGGUCCCGAGCGUUGUUCGGAUUCAUUGGGCGUAAAGGGUGCGUAGGCGGCGGGGUAAGUUUGAUGUGAAAUCCCGGGGCUCAACCCUGGAAUUGCAUUGAAUACUACCUUGCUAGAGUACCGGAGAGGAAACUGGAAUUUACGGUGUAGCAGUGAAAUGCGUAGAGAUCGUAAGGAAGACCAGUGGCGAAGGCGAGUUUCUGGAUGGUAACUGACGCUGAGGCACGAAGGCCAGGGGAGCAAACGGG
rnacentral:rRNA from 1 species